GCAGACUCUCUCAAUCCGUCCCCCGAGGGGAAAGAGACGAAGGGUUUCAUUCAUGGUCAUGUCAAGAUACUCCAACUGCAUCACUGUUUCGUAUGUGAGAGGAGCCUUCGGACAACAGGAGAAAGGUGGUCAGCCCCGGAAUUCCAGGAAGAUGUACAAAGAGAGAACAAAACGGGCAAGAUUUGCUGCGGAUGGUUAUAUCUGUGGAGAUUUUGGUGUCCUCAUAAAUACCAACAGCAUGCUGACAAGGAAUAUCCAGGAGCCUUGAACUCUCAGAAAACAUCUUCAUUGACAGGAGAUGGACCAAAACCAUCAGGUCCUGCUCUCAUCAUUGAUUUUCAGCAACCCUCAUCCGUGCUGAUGAAAUGUCUUGCAUGAAGCCCGUCGGCAUUAAGCACUGCUGCGGUGUGCAGAAGGGGUGGAGGGCACAUAAAGCAAGUCAUUACUGAGCGUGGCCUCUCUUCUUGCACAAGGAGCAUUCGGAGGAUGCAAACAGCUGGAAUAUGGGUAAUUCCAUGACCAUAAAAACUUUAUUUUACUUUUAUUGCUAUCGAAAAGCUCCGGAUAGGUGCAUCUCUCAUCCAGCUGAUUAACCUGAGGUUAGAGCAGAUGUGCGCCUCUGUGCACCGGCAGUGUCGUACCUCAGCCUCCCUCCGAAAGAAAACCAAAGGCGAAGCAUUGCUGGCAUGAAGAGACAAAGAAUAGCCUCCCUUUUUCAUCUGGCACGCCGGCGCAGCCUCGCUACGCCCACUUCGGCUGCUUUCAGCUCCCACCGUGCCUCCCGGUUGCCUAGCAAUCCUAACAAUAUUUUAUGAGGCUUUAUUCCAGGGGCACGGCGUAUUAAUGCCGAAUUUUAGCGAGGCGCUCCAGGAGAAGCAAGGAGGAGGCCUGAGAUAACAUCACAUCGAUUUAUUACAGGCAGGCUAGGGGGAGAAAAAGAAAAUGCCAAGUGGUGAUGAUGGGGAUUUAGCAGUGAGAGCUGAAGAGCUGCUGGGAGCAGCGUUUGGGCGGAUGAUGUGUUGUACCAGCAUUGUCUGAGCAGGAAACCCCUGCUGAAAUUAUCCCAUCUAGGUAUCCAGAUUGCUUCUCUGCAAGUUUGGGAUGCUUGGCCAGGGUUUUCCAGCAGUAGCUCUGGGGAGGGUGAUGCCCGCGGGCAGGUGGAAGGAGGCUGGAGGGGAUGAAACCCACCAGGUGCUGGUGAGGAGCCACCAAAUUUCCUUCCACCCUGGGCAAAAUGAGAACGAAGGUGCCAAAAUGCAUGAAUCUGUUUCAAAGCGCAUUCCCUUGGCUUCUCCCUUACUAUCCCCAAUCAAACAUAUAACCUGGGGUUAUAUUUUAUACCAUUAAUUAACCCCUUGGGGUUAGGUUCACAUUUUCUGAAGGCUACAGAGUUCCUAUUUUCUGUUUUAGUUUGGCUGGCACAAACUUCGUCUAAAACCCAAACUUGCUAUAAUGGCUACUCUUAAUGUUUGGUGUUGGUUUUGUUUUAAGCCUGCCUUUAAAAAAGAAAAACAGCACCCUUAAUUUUAGCAAAGAUUACUCCAUAAUAGUAAUCUCUUGCUAACAUAAACUGAAUUAGAUUCAGCCAUUUAACUCUUACAUAAUUAUUAUUUUGUUGAUGAAGAAUGACCUUCGGUUACGUUCUGCAACUGUUUCAUUUCUGCAAAACAUGUAUUUAUAAAAAAAUCAAUAGAAA